GGAUAUAGCUCAGUGGUAGAGCGCAUGCUUAGCAUACACAAGGUCCUGGGUUCAAUCCCCAGUACUUCCA
rnacentral:tRNA from 1 species